rnacentral:rRNA from 1 species
UGGGGAAUAUUGCACAAUGGGCGCAAGCCUGAUGCAGCCAUGCCGCGUGUGUGAAGAAGGCCUUCGGGUUGUAAAGCACUUUCAGCGAGGAGGAAGGGUUCAGUGUUAAUAGCACUGUUCAUUGACGUUACUCGCAGAAGAAGCACCGGCUAACUCCGUGCCAGCAGCCGCGGUAAUACGGAGGGUGCAAGCGUUAAUCGGAAUUACUGGGCGUAAAGCGCACGCAGGCGGUUUGUUAAGUCAGAUGUGAAAUCCCCGCGCUUAAC